CUCGACAGUGAUAAUAUCUGCUUCUCCUCGUCAUAUCCCCGUCGUGUAUAUUGUGCUCGCGUGUCUCGUAGUUCGCGAUGAGCGUUGGCAACCUUUAAGAAGGUAAUUGAGACAGUGAUUAUCACUGCGUCGCUUAAAUGGCUUUACGUAUAAUGUCAGCCAUAGUGCCAACCACACACAAUGUGACUGAUAUUGAUCAUGUAACUGAGAAGCAAAAACUACUGGAGGAUCUGUUGGCUGCUGCGAAAAACUGCCAUGUCAGGUUUGGAGGACGCGCUGAACUUGCCACAGAAUCAGAAGUGUGUGUGGCACAGCUCUGCCAUAUAUUCGAGUCGAUAUUCAGUCAUGGGAUAAAGACAAAUUGCAUAGAGAAGAUCAAUUCAGCAUUCAGACAUGUGUCUGACCUGGUCUCCGGUAGCAAUGGUAAUAAUAAACCUGGCACUAUGGCCUAUAUAGCAUUCUGGCCGUGCAUAAAGGAGCAACUCACUUGGCACGAGCAGGAACGCUUCAGCGUGUUGCGGAAAGUACGUACGGAUUACGGCCGUGGUAGAGCGUGGCUGAGAGCUGUCCUGAACGAGAAAUCUCUGGAACGGCAUUUACACGCCAUCAUAGAUCCCGGCGCAUUGUCUCCUUUUUACGAGGAGUGGGCCUUCUUACUCGAUCAAGAGAAGUGUUCUGUAUUACCUAAUGUAGCCGCAGGUCUUGGUACAAUUUUAUUUGCGAUAAGAAUAGAUAAUGAAGAACUCGACGAUAAUUUGAAAGGGAAGGGGAUGGACAAGGGUAGGGGCGUGCAGUCGGAGCCGGUUAUUCCUGCACUAAUUCCAGGGCCUCCCACGUCUCAACACGAGAAGAAAAAAGUACCAGUCCAUAUAAUUUCGUUUGACGAUGACGAGGAGAGAGACGAGCGCAAAGAGACCACGACUUCGAUGAGCGCUCCAGCAACGUGUCUCAGUUCUCCUACUGCACCCUCGACUAAAGAUUCUAUCUCUCCUUGUUUGGAUCAAGUUCCUGAACCUCAAGUCGAUUCCAAUGAUAACACGGUGGACAAUACGAAGUUUCCCGAGUGGGAACAAUGUGAGUCCUUCGAAGAGGAGAAGAUUUUAACUCCCGUGACGGAUGCUGAAAAUUUGGGCGGCCUUGUACCUGUGUCACCACUUGAUCAAACGUUAGACGAUAUGUUAGUUACUCUACCAAACUAUUUAGACGAUUCAUCGGAACUGACAGAGGCGGCAGUGGAGGCUACGGAGCCGUUAGUCGGUUUAGACUUCCAUGUAGAUCCAGAGAAUUUAGAUAUAGAUACGUUACGCGUAAGACUUUUAGCUAUGACGGAAGUGUUGGAGCAAGCUAGGGAAGACGCUAUAACGAGCAGAUUACAAUUAGCCCGCUUCCAGAGACAGCAUCAGCAUUACUUGGAAAGACAUGAGUUGCAGUUGCAAACAUUAAACAGGGAGAACGAACUUUUGCGACAGCAAUUGCGUAAGUACGUCACCGCUGUCCAAAUGUUACGAAGGGACUCGAAUUCCACAACCAUGUCUGAAGAAGACCCAGCGUUAGAUUAUCACAACGAGGCGCGGCAGUACGAAGAAAAGUUGAUACAAGUCGCGGACAUGCAUGCCGAAUUGAUGGAAUUCAACGCCAGGUUGACGUUGCAACUGACAAACAGAGACAGAUUGGUGAAGAUGUUGCAAGCGGAAUUGGAGUGUCUGCGAGGUCCGUUAAACGAGGAUGAUUUACCCUCGGAUCCACCGUGUCUCAUUCAUAUAUGGAUUCCAUCGGUAUUUCUCACGGGACAACCAUCUGAUAUCCACCACGUUUAUCAAAUUUAUGUACGCAUAAGGGACACAGAGUGGAACAUUUAUCGACGGUAUGCUCAAUUUUACGCUCUCUACAGAGAGCUAAAGAAACACGACGCUAUCGUUACUACUUUUGAAUUUCCGCCAAAGAAAACAAUAGGAAAUAAGGAUGCGAAGUUCGUCGAGGAUAGACGACAAAAACUACAGCAAUGGUUACGGCGUGUGGUCGGACGCGUGGCACAAUGUUCCCCCGCGUUUUCGUGCAGACCAAGCAGGCAGACUCUUGUAUCCUUGAUGCCUUUCUUUGGGUAAGUGUUCCACGCGGAGAUUAAAAGUGAACGAUCACGAUCCACGGACACUUCAAAGCCAAUAUUGACUGAUAGCCCUAAUGCCGAGGAAUCGAGGAAAAAUAAUUCUGCAAGAAGUACUUUCUCUUCCUCCCCUCAAUACAUGGGUUUAUAAUCAUGACAAUUUUUAUAGACAAUUUGUACAUAUACGUGUGGGAAAGAAAAGAAAAAAAAUAUCUUAUUAAUUUAAUUACUUCAGACAAGAAUCUUGUUACAUGCGACGUAUUGUUGACGAUUAAAGAGAACGGGGCGCUCUAUUGCAUGUGUUUAAUGUAUAUAAGAAUAAUACCAUACACACCUUGCGACCUGUAUGACGCCGGCAUGUGUGUAUGGAAAUUAAUAUAUAACAUAGACAAUUAUAAAAAAAUUGGUUCUAUACUUCUUUUUUUUAAUGAAAAUAAUAGCUCAUGUUUCUAAUGUUUUA